GCUUCUUGCUUGAAAAUAUAUGUGCAAACAAAUAACACUCAACCACAAGGUCUGGCUGAGGUUCUGUUAAGAAACAGACUUUUAUUGCACAUAUAUUUUCAAGCAAGAAGCUAAAUUAAAACAAGGAAAAAAAGAGAGCAAAAACUAAGCCAUAAACGAGCCUGUUGCCUUUCUGUGACUUGCCGGUCUGCCAGGCAUUAGCCAAACACUGAGCUUGCUUCAGGGAAGAUUCUUCUUGCAUCUGUGGGAUGAUUCGUCAUGGCUAAGCACAGGCGAACUGUUGGAAUUUUGGAGGAGGAUGAGGAAUCCCUCUCUCCAAGCCCCCCCAAGCUUUCCAAGACCCAAGGAUGGAUUCUUGAUGAAAGGCCACCAUUCCUAUCAGAUUCAAGGAACUGACAGCUUGGUUUAAUGCUAUCCAAUGGGCUCUUAUUCAAGCUAGUGGGGAGUUUAUUG
rnacentral:misc_RNA from 1 species